rnacentral:lncRNA from 1 species
UGUAAACGUUAAAUGUUUUUUUUUUACAAAAAUGAAGGAAACCAAAUUGAAAAAGACCAGGUUUUUUUUUCAAUUGUUCCAUUGUGCACAUAGUUCAUCUCGAAUUGACUACAGCUAAAGCUGCAAUAAAAAGUAAAACGUAGUUCCCUGUCAGUUCUUUGGAAAUCCUUUUAUAUCAUUUAAUUGAUAGCUGAAGGUAAAAUAUGGGAGUGAAAAAGGUAAUUUAUUGACCUUUCUUUAACUUAAAGAACUAUCCACAGCAAUUCUAAUUACGUCAUAACAUUUUUACAAUUAAAGUUAACUUAUAGUUAUGACUGGCAAGAGGAAAAGGGGAAGACCUAAAGAAACAUGGAGAAGAACAGUGGAAAGCGAGAU